rnacentral:rRNA from 1 species
CAGCCGAAACUGCGAAUGGCUCAUUAUAUAAGUUAUCGUUUAUUUGAUAGUACCUUACUACUUGGAUAACCGUGGUAAUUCUAGAGCUAAUACAUGCUAAAAAUCCCGACUUACGAAGGGAUGUAUUUAUUAGAUUAAAAACCAAUGCCCUUCGGGGCUCACUGGUGAUUCAUAAUAACUUCUCGAAUCGCAUGGCCUUGCGCCGGCGAUGGUUCAUUCAAAUUUCUUCCCUAUCAACUUUCGAUGCUAGAGUAGUGUUCUAGCAUGGUUACAACGGGUAACGGAGGGUUAGGGCUCGACCCCGGAGAAGGAGCCUGAGAAACGGCUACUACAUCCAAGGAAGGCAGCAGGCGCGCAAAUUACCCAAUCCCGACACGGGGAGGUAGUGACGAUAAAUACUGAUACAGGGCUCUUUUGGGUCUUGUAAUUGGAAUGAGUACAAUUUAAAUCCCUUAACGAGGAACAAUUGGAGGGCAAGUCUGGUGCCAGCAGCCGCGGUAAUUCCAGCUCCAAUAGCGUAUAUUAAAGUUGUUGUGGUUAAAAAGCUCGUAGUAGAACCUUGGGCCUGGCUGGCCGGUCCGCCUCACCGCGUGCACUGGUCCGGCCGGGCCUUUCCCCCUGUGGAACCUCAUGCCCUUCACUGGGUGUGUGGGAAAACAGGACUUUUACUUUGAAAAAAUUAGAGUGCUCCAGGCAGGCCUAUGCUCGAAUACAUUAGCAUGGAAUAAUAGAAUAGGACGUGUGGUUCUAUUUUGUUGGUUUCUAGGACCGCCGUAAUGAUUAAUAGGGACAGUCGGGGGCAUCAGUAUUCAAUUGUCAGAGGUGAAAUUCUUGGAUUUAUUGAAGACUAACUACUGCGAAAGCAUUUGCCAAGGAUGUUUUCAUUUAUCAGGAACGAAAGUUAGGGGAUCGAAGACGAUCAGAUACCGUCGUAGUCUUAACCAUAAACUAUGCCGACUAGGGAUCGGACGAUGUUAUUUUUUGACUCGUUCGGCACCUUACGAGAAAUCAAAGUGCUUGGGCUCCAGGGGGAGUAUGGUCGCAAGGCUGAAACUUAAAGAAAUUGACGGAAGGGCACCACCAGGGGUGGAGCCUGCGGCUUAAUUUGACUCAACACGGGGAAACUCACCAGGUCCAGACACAAUGAGGAUUGACAGAUUGAGAGCUCUUUCUUGAUUUUGUGGGUGGUGGUGCAUGGCCGUUCUUAGUUGGUGGAGUGAUUUGUCUGCUUAAUUGCGAUAACGAACGAGACCUUAACCUGCUAACUAGCCCGUAUUGCUUUGGCAGUACGCUGGCUUCUUAGAGGGACUAUCGGGUUCAAGC